rnacentral:rRNA from 1 species
UACGAAGGGGGCUAGCGUUGUUCGGAUUUACUGGGCGUAAAGCGCACGUAGGCGGAUUUGUAAGUCAGGGGUGAAAUCCCGAGGCUCAACCUCGGAACUGCCUUUGAUACUGCAAAUCUCGAGUCCGGAAGAGGUGAGUGGAAUUCCUAGUGUAGAGGUGAAAUGCGCAGAUAUCAGGAGGAACACCAAUUGCGAAGGCAGCUCGCUGGAACGUAACUGACGCUGAGACGCGAAAGCGUGGGGAGCAAACAGG